GAUUGUAGUCUGCAACCCGGCUACAUGAAGCUGGAAUCGCUAGUAAUCGCGGAUCAGAAUGCCGCGGUGAAUACGUUCCCGGGUCUUGUACACACCGCCCGUCACACCAUGGGAGCCGGAAAUGCCCGAAGUCAGUGACCCAACCGCAAGGAGGGAGCUGCCGAAGGUGGAGCUGGUAACUGGGGGUGAAGUCGUAACAAGGUAGC
rnacentral:rRNA from 1 species